AUGAACGCUGGCGGCGUGCCUAAUACAUGCCAGUCGAGCGAACAGACAAGGAGCUUGCUCCUCUGACGUUAGCGGCGGACGGGUGAGUAACACGUGGAUAACCUACCUAUAAGACUGGGAUAACUUCGGGAAACCGGAGCUAAUACCGGAUAAUAUAUUGAACCGCAUGGUUCAAUAGUGAAAGACGGUUUUGCUGUCACUUAUAGAUGGAUCCGCGCCGCAUUAGCUAGUUGGUAAGGUAACGGCUUACCAAGGCAACGAUGCGUAGCCGACCUGAGAGGGUGAUCGGCCACACUGGAACUGAGACACGGUCCAGACUCCUACGGGAGGCAGCAGUAGGGAAUCUUCCGCAAUGGGCGAAAGCCUGACGGAGCAACGCCGCGUGAGUGAUGAAGGUCUUCGGAUCGUAAAACUCUGUUAUUAGGGAAGAACAAAUGUGUAAGUAACUAUGCACGUCUUGACGGUACCUAAUCAGAAAGCCACGGCUAACUACGUG
rnacentral:rRNA from 1 species